rnacentral:rRNA from 1 species
AACGAACGCUGGCGGCAUGCCUAACACGUGCAAGUCGAACGAGACCUUCGGGUCUAGUGGCGCACGGGUGCGUAACGCGUGGGAAUCUGCCCUUGGGUUCGGAAUAACAGUUAGAAAUGACUGCUAAUACCGGAUAAUGUCUUCGGACCAAAGAUUUAUCGCCCAGGGAUGAGCCCGCGUAGGAUUAGCUAGUUGGUGAGGUAAAGGCUCACCAAGGCGACGAUCCUUAGCUGGUCUGAGAGGAUGAUCAGCCACACUGGGACUGAGACACGGCCCAGACUCCUACGGGAGGCAGCAGUGGGGAAUAUUGGACAAUGGGCGAAAGCCUGAUCCAGCAAUGCCGCGUGAGUGAUGAAGGCCUUAGGGUUGUAAAGCUCCUUUACCCGGGAUGAUAAUGACAGUACCUGGAGAAUAAGCUCCGGCUAACUCCGUGCCAGCAGCCGCGGUAAU